GGGACCCGUCCCAAACCCGAGGCACCUUCCAACCGCAUCCAAACAGUUUUCAUGGACAGUGGUAAGGUACUGGACUGGAACGGUCAUAUUCACAGUUCAACAAUUCAGCGCACUUUGCACAAGGAGAAGCUGUAUGGGAGAGUGAUGCAAAAGAAGCCUUCUCUGCAAGCACGCCACAAACAGAGCCACUUGAGUAGCCGACCUAACAACCUACCAUGUCUGAGAUGGUCUUGUUCCUCUGUCCAUGGCAGGUUCAGUCAAUCAGCUGUGGGACAUCUGCUGCCUAGUCAAACUAUCAUGGGU